rnacentral:rRNA from 1 species
UACGUAGGGGGCAAGCGUUGUUCGGAAUUACUGGGCGUAAAGGGCGCGUAGGCGGCACGGCAAGUCAGGAGUGAAAGGCCUGGGCUCAACCGAGGAACUGCUUUUGAGACUGCCGAGCUAGAGUGCAGAAGGGGCAACUGGAAUUCCCAGUGUAGCGGUGAAAUGCGUAGAUAUUGGGAAGAACACCUGAGGCGAAGGCGGGUUGCUGGGCUGACACUGACGCUGAGGCGCGAAAGCUAGGGGAGCGAACAGG